AACGUAGGUCACAAGCGUUGUCCGGAUUUACUGGGUGUAAAGGGCGUGCAGCCGGGCCGACAAGUCAGAUGUGAAAUCCCGAGGCUUAACCUCGGAACUGCAUUUGUGACUGCACGGCUAGAGUUUGUCAGAGGAGGGUGGAAUUCCGCGUGUAGCAGUGAAAUGCGUAGAUAUCGAGAGGAACACUCGUGGCGAAGGCGGGUUCCUGGACAUUAACUGACGCUGAGGCACGAAGGCCAGGGGAGCGAAAGGG
rnacentral:rRNA from 1 species